rnacentral:rRNA from 1 species
GAUAAUAGUCAAUGCUCGGAAGAGUCAACUAGCUAACUGAAAUAAUCACAAAUCACAAAUAGUGCUUAUUGUGAUAACGUAAGGGAAAAAAUUGAUAUUACCUUACUAUUAGUGUUGUCUAAAUAACUGGUGCCAGAAGACUCGGUAACACCAGAAACGCAAACGUUAGUCGUCUUAAACAGGCGUAAAGGGUAAGUAGGCUGCUUUAAUGUCUAAAUUAAUAUAAGCUAAUUAAUAAUUUAAUACUAAUUUUUUCAAAUUAAAUAUAUAGAUUAUUUCGUUAUAAAUAACACACUAAAAAUUGAAAUUAUUGCUUGCUAUGCAAGCCAGAAAAUUAGAAUUAUUCUUUUCUAUUAAAAUAGACUCACUUAAAGCUAGAAUCAUAAUUGAGAUAAACCAAAUAAUACUUAAGUGUAAGGGCGAUAUCUGAAAAUACUAAGUAGAAUACUAACGGUGAAAACUUUUUAUCUAGUAAUGAUUGACGCUGAGGUACGAAAGUGAGAACAGGGAAUAGGAUUAGAUACCCAGUUACCUCUCACCGUCAACGAUGAAUGGUAGUUGUUAAUUUAUUUAAAUUAGUGACGAUGUUAACGCGAUACCAUUCCGCCUUGAGAGUACGGUUGCAAAACUGAAACCAAAAAAAUUAGUCGGUCUCGGAGCAAACGGAGUGAAGCAU